GACUUUUCCAUUAAACGAAGAUUAAGGAGAUAAACAAACAGUCUUCGACUAACGCUGAUUUGGCGAUAACAUCGGCUCUCCGAUUCAGAUCGUGAUUGAUAAAACAAAAGGAAACAUUCGAAAAAGGAGGAUAGAGAAAGGAUGUCGUGAAGAAUCCCAUGGAGCUCAAUCGGGUGAAGGGCCAUUGCUUCUGCCAUGAGCGGCGAACUGAUGAACUGGACCGAUCCACCUUCCAUAAAUUCAAUUUUCCACAGAGGAUCGAACAUUAUCCAGCCAAGACCAGCUUUGUGCGAAUCCUCUUUCCACGCUGCAUCCGAGAAAACCCUAAUUGUAUCUAACUGAAUAACCGGUGUCAGGACUGGAACUCGGAGGGCCUGCGGUGGUGUUGCUAAACUCUGUGCGAUUGACCAUAGAAGCCAAGGGAAUAGAGGUCCAUUGACUAAGCCCGUCGGUAGUAAAACCACAAAAGUUCUGGAUGCUUCAAUGAUUGCUCUUAGAGAGGUGUUGUGGACAAACACAGGAAGCUGUUUAAACGAAGCCUUAGCCCAGACUUGUUUGACGAAGCUGCAAAAAAAGAAGAGAUGAUUCAUAGAUUCCUCAAGACCACAAUGGGGACAAGUCGCUGUGGAUUGAAGAGUUAACUUCCUGUUCUUCUCAUUUGCAAUGUGGUAUCCCGACUUUGCAGAAUAAUCACCAGUCUUAGAAGGUGAAGCUUCUUGGACAGAGGAGUUGUGAGAAUAGCAUCUCAUGAGUUUGAUGGGUGGGAGGUCCCAUUGGUUGCAGGGGUAUAGAGGAGGAGAGCCAAAGAUCAUCCCAAAUUCUCGUGUUCUGUCCAUUUCCAAUUGCUCUACCAAGCUGAGUUUUCAAUAAGUCUCCAAUUGCUUUACCAAGCUGAGUUUUCAAGAAAACCAUCUGAAUUGCAAUACUUCCCCAUGAGAACUUUAGCGAGUAAACAAGAUGGUUUGAGUUAAUUUUGACCAUGAAAUCCAAGCCAUUUUAUGUUUCUCGUCGGAGCCAUCCCACCAAAACCUUGUCAAAGCCGACUGAAUACCUUUAUAGAGCGAUCCUGGAAGCUUGAAGCUAGACAUAGUAUAAGUCGGCAUCGAUGCUAGGACGGACUGUAACAAUGUAGCCUUGCCUGCGCUUGAUAGGAAUUUUGAAGACCAGCUGAGAGCUCGCUGUCUUGUUCGGUCUAUGAUAAGAUUGAACAAAUCUUUUUUCUUCCUUCCAAAGAGUUCAGGAUAGACAUAAGUUCUAGGCAACUCUUUCUGUCAGAUCGGCAAAAGCACAUGGUGUCAUCUGCAAAGAGCAGAUGGUUCACUCUUGGACUGCCUAAUGCAACUCUAAUUCCAGGACUGGUUGAAGUCUCUUGGAAAGCAGCUUAGAGAUAAUCUUGUAAAACGCGGUGCAGAGGGCAAUAGAGGAGGGCAUAGCUAUUAGGAUCUCAUUUGUUUCAUUUGAGAUGCGUGGAAGAAUGGCUUCAUUAACAGUAGAGAGUCUGUCUCCUUCCUGAGAGCAUGGAAAUAUUCAGUAUUCUUGUCUCCUAAAGCCAGCCAAAGUUGGCGAUUUCGUUGCUUCCAAAAUGCUUCUUCGGCCUUAUAGGCUAAAAGAAGAGUAUUAUUUAGAGAGGAGAUUAACUCAGCACUGUUUGUGGGACUAGACAUGGCCUUGUCAAGCUUUUGUUUGUAGUCCUCUAUCAGUUUUUGGCUGUUCUGAUGUGCUUCUCUUGACCAUCGGAUUAUACUAGCACGACAUCUAUUAAUCUUCUCCUCAACUGAUUCUUGAUCAUCGAAGCUCCAAGCCUCUGAGAUAAGUAACCUAACUUCCUCGUUAUCCCUUAGGCGACGAUCAUAUCUAAAUAAUCCCUUCUUUUUCUUUUUCUUCAGAUCAAAGUGAGUGAUAAGCGGUCGAUGAUCAGAUCCUUCAAAUCUCAGAACGGUUGGUUCCCAAAUCAGUGAGUUGAUUCCAAAUAAGCUUUCUUUUUGAUCUAUCAGGUUCACCAUAUAGGAAAGUGCAGGGCAAGUCCUCCACCUCCAGGGCUGUGAGGAGUAACUAGGUGAAUUGCUACUUAACCCAAUCCAAUGAGAGCAGUGAGGACGACAGCAUCUGGAUUUUUCGUCUCCAUGAGGAAUAGGAUUUCUGGAUUCUGUCUUCUUCUAGAGGGGGAGCCAUUACUGUGAGAAGGUACAGAAUCUGCCUGUGCAGUUGUUAGUCUGGUUAGAGCGGACUUCCUCUUGGGAGUAGGCGGUCUGCCUCUUUUUUCUUCACCAUAGGAGCUUGGAGUGCUUGGUUAUCCUCUAAGAUUGGGGCCUGAAUCGCUUCCACCAAUGAUGCACUUUCAGUAGGGUCAUUACAAUUAAUGUAUUGUACCGUUACAUCUCGCAGCUCUCCCAUAACUUCCGCAGUUGUAGGGAUAGGCGGUGGUUUGAGAAUGUUGUCAUUAGUCAUUUCGCGUUCGAGAGGUUUGGAGAGGAUGGUUUGUCAUGAUAUCGUUCUUGCGGUUUCGAGUGAGUUCUAGCAUCUCUAGUUGAAUCUCCUCUAUAGUAGUCUUGGGACUUGGAAGGUGAUCUCCUGUAACUUGGGGUUCUGUAGUCAAGGGAUCUCCUGUCUGAAUGUCUUUGCUGAGAGAGACCAGAAAAUCUGUGAGCUCUACGAUCUGAUGAACUGCCAUCAUUUCUUCGAGUAUGUCCUGAAGGUACUUGAGAGAUGUGUCUGUUAUUUGAGAGAUUCCCACUUUGGGACUUGUUUCUUGAGGAGAGCUGUUCUCUUUAUGGCGGUAGAGGAGGUAGUGAACUCUGGUUUUGAGAUUUUCUACUUGACUGCAAACCAGGACAGUUGGAUUUCUCAUGUGAUAGCCUGUUGCAGUGGGAGCAGUGCUUUUUUAAUCUUUUGUAUUCCAGCGUCACCAGAGCUUCACUGCCAUCCGGGAAGUCAAUCAUUGCAUCUUUUACAGGAGGUUGCAGACCAUUCACUAGGACUUUAACUCUUGCUACCGCUGGAGUAAGUUCAUGAUCAACUAGUUCACCCGCUAGACCACCAAUGUCAAUUAGCAUUUUGGGUUUCAAGUAGUGAAGAGGGAUUCCUUGAACAUCAAUCCAGAAGGGAAUCUCGGAGGAGAAAUUAUCUGAUAUAACAGGUUCCUAUCUCUGUAGAAUUACCAUCCAAUCAUCAAAAUGAUAAGGUCUGCUGUUUAGAACCUUGAGCAAGUCUUCCUCAAAGUCAAAACAAAACUGGAAGCGUCCCCUGCCAAGAUCUGACCCAAUGGCUUUUCCAUUCAGAUUCCAUCUGCUAGAGAGAAAAGGUAUAAGGGACCACAGGCGUUGUUGCACUGCAGGAUUUGUGAGACGUCCUAUGAGGGUAAGAGAGUUUUUUUGGACCAAAUCUGAGGUAUCCAGCUGCGGAGCCUUGAGUCUUUUCCGGGAAGGCUGAGAGUAGUAGUCAUCAGCUAUCGCUUUUCCUUUAGCAUAAUAAGGAUGAGACAAGAAGGUAGAGAUCUUUUUGUGAGGAGGCAGCUUUUGUAGAAGUUUCAGAGAUGGUUCAAAGAUAGUUCUUCACACUAGGGUAAUUGCAUUCAUUGCAAACAAACAUCACACAAAGUAACACAAAGUACAAGGAGUACAAGAUAUAGAAGUUUAGAUAUCGUUUGGGCAGUUGUUUGGACUGCAUUCAAUGAGAAAUAAACAACCUCUUUUAAGGGAGAGGAAACUCUUUAAGCAGCCGUUAAAGAAGAGAGACCUUCCUCACGGGAAGAGGGGCGUCUCCUACGCCGGCUCCUCCGUGGGAAUUCGCCGGAAAGAUGGUUUUUUGGGUUGUUUUUGAUAGAACUUCUAUUUUGGGUAAACAAAAGUGGGUGAGAAUUUCUGUUUUUAGUAAAAAGGUUUGGUUUAAAUCUGGUUUUUCAAAAAGUAGUAACUAGAAAUAGAAUCUCGAAACUCAUGCGAGGGAAAGUUUUUUUAGCUUUCUUUCUCCUCUUCCUAUAUUUUCUAUUCCCUCAUAUCGGGGAACAAUUUCUAUGAAUUGUUAUUGACAUUAAAUUAUAGUAAAUUAGAGAGAAAGUAUUUGUUCGUUUUUGUCGAUUAUAUCCAUGAGAACUCUUGUUUCAGGUGAUUGUGUUUGUCGAUUUUUUUUGUUGUGUUUCGUGGCAUGUGAAGUUUUUGUUUGAAGUGUGGAGUUUUUGUCGAUUUGUUUUGUUGUGUUUCGUGGCAUGUGAAGUUUUAUAGUUUGAGUGUAGAGUUUUAGUUUUGUUUGAUUAUUUUUUGUUGUGUAUUUGUGAUUGUGAAGUUUUUUUAUCUGUCGUGUUUGUGUAUUUGGUGCGAGUAUUUUUGUCUUGAGAAGAGAGACAUGGAGAUUUUACCUGCCUCUUCAUUUGUUCUGGACUACGGGAUUUGCCUUGACGACUUUGGUAACCAAAAGACCUGUACACAUGCAUGAAGCAAGAGAAAUAUCAAAUAAGAGACUAAAAAACAGAGAAAAUUAUUUGACCCUUUAUGUAAAAGAAACAUGAGGAACAAC
rnacentral:misc_RNA from 1 species